GUAAUGGUGUCUUUAGACACCACCUAUACUUGGAAUGCAUAGUUAU
rfam:Picea glauca, whole genome shotgun sequence.